rnacentral:piRNA from 2 species
UGCUGAUGGAUGCUCACUAUUAAAC